rnacentral:misc_RNA from 1 species
AAAAAAAACCCUAAUUUGAUCUCUCUCUCUUCUCCCCUCCAAUUCACGGGAGAUAUGAACAUCAGCACUACCACCAGAGCAACAAUGGCUACUUACGAUCUAACACCGAGAAUCGCACCAAAUCUGGACAGACACCUGGUGUUCCCUCUCUUGGAGUUUCUCCAAGAAAGGCAGCUAUACCCUGAGGAGCAGAUCUUCAAGUCCAAAAUCGAGCUCUUGAACAAAACUAACAUGGUCGAUUAUGCCAUGGACAUCCACAAGAGCCUCUACCACACCGAAGACGUCCCUCAAGACAUGGUGGAGAGGAGAGCGGAGGUCGUUGCGAGAUUGAAGGCCCUUGAGGAGGCGGCGGCACCGCUUGU